rnacentral:rRNA from 1 species
UACGUAGGGUGCAAGCGUUAAUCGGAAUUACUGGGCGUAAAGCGUGCGCAGGCGGUUUUGUAAGUCUGAUGUGAAAUCCCCGGGCUCAACCUGGGAAUUGCAUUGGAGACUGCAAGGCUAGAAUCUGGCAGAGGGGGGUAGAAUUCCACGUGUAGCAGUGAAAUGCGUAGAGAUGUGGAGGAACACCGAUGGCGAAGGCAGCCCCCUGGGUCAAGAUUGACGCUCAUG